UCUUCUCUGAUUCGUUGCCAAACUCCGAUUGGUAUACAUCUGGCUCCGAACUUGUAAGUCUGAGUAAAGUAUCGGGCUCCGUCUCCUCCCAUGUCACGCUGUCCAGAAUUGAUGCGCUAGAAAUGGAUCCGCCAACAAGCAGGCAUCAUGUUGGUCUCAAGGUUUUGAAUGGAAUUCUAGUCUCGUUUUUACGUAAUUGCCGUGCUUUGAGGGUUUUGUGUUGCUGAUGAAUUCUUUCACUGUCCUCCUGAGCCUUAAGACUGGGCAAUUGCAAGUUUAGGUUGUUUGUGAAGGUUAUCCUGGUUUACCACCAGCUAGAUGCCGAAAGCAGGGAUCACAAGGCAAAGCUACCAAAAUCUGUCGGAGGGGGUGGAAAGCCACUGUAAAAAAGCUACCAGUGCUCAGCAAAUCAAGCGCAUUCAGGACGGACAAGCCUUCGGUACUCAUGCAGUUUCUGGUGUGUAAAGAGCUGCUACAUCUUGUCGUAGCCCGGGGUUUUCCCGUUAAUCGAUUCGAGCCUUUGCUUAACAGCUCAAUGUUGAAUCAGUACGGUGAAUAUGUAAGGCUUCUAGCUAAGCGAUGGUUAUUCACCCACACCCCAUCAAACUGAAGAGCUUUCUUCUAAGAGAAACUCUCUUUCAUUCCUCUCCAUGCCAUGAGCUGAGAUUGCUUGCAAAGCAGACCUAAAUUUGUCUAUAAUAACCACGACAGAUAUCCCUGGUGUGGGAAGUGUGCCAAGUGGAUCCAGCCUUGAAUAAAUGAAUCUGGCCUGGCCAAUCCGCGUGAUCAACAAGACUUUAUUUAUAUUUAGCUUCCGACCUGGCAAAGGCGCUAGAAGGCCUUGGCCAGGUCGGAAGGCCGUUUUCUGCGUCUCAAGGCGGUAAACGGCCUUGCUCUUGCUUUGCUUGUUCGUGGGUCGGUUAUGCUGGUCGUUGUAAGCUUGGAUUGCUGUAGAAAACGCUUUUUUAUCAAUUGGGAACAAAGUACCUAACGAGGUGAAAUUUGCUUAGGCUGUGGAAUUGCAAUUGUCGCUCUAUCAAGAGCUAUGAGGAGGAGAUUCGGGAUUCUGGAAGCGCAGUCUGAUGCAUUGCUUCAUGUUGUUGUGAUAUACUUCUGAUCAAUGGAUUCGAUUGGAGUUGUGAGGGUCGAGGUGAUAACAUUACAGAGAGCGCUUUAGAGCUUCUACUGAAUGAGAAACUAGAAAGGAACAGCAAGGGCAAUGAAUGAUUCUUCUCACAAAGCGGAGUCUCUAGGUCAAACUGGUUUGCUUCUGUCCUCUGCCAGCGAAGGCAACGUAACAAGAAUAAAUGAGCUACUGGAAGGAGGCGUCUCAAUGGACUCUUGUGACUAUGAUAGAAGAACGGCUCUUCACUUGGCUGCCACUGAGGGUCAUUCGCAUGUGGUGGAGUUGAUGUUGAAGCGUGGUGCCAACAUCAACCCGGUGGAUCGAUGGGGCGACACCCCUCUAUCUGAUGCUCGGAAGUACGCGAAAGGAGCCGUAUCCAAGAUCCUCGAGCAGCAUGGUGCAAGGAUUGAGCUACAUGAAUUCAGUCGCGUGUAAUUAUCGGAAAAAACUGUGCUCCGAGCGAAUCCCAUGUGUGCUGAAUCCACAGAAUGUGGCCAAUGUAUGUGAUACAGGAUGAGCGAAAGCUUGCACCGUCAUGCGACGUCUACUCCUCUUUCCAUUACGAGAUUGGUCGGUCUGAAUUGGAGUCCCUUUCCAGUACUCCAUUUCGCAAGACCCCACGCAGGAAGUACGCUUGGUGGCCUGGCGGGUUACGCAUGUGGUUGCAAGAACUCUCUUCUUAUCGAAUAUAACAGAUCCUGACAUAUUGUAAGUGGAAUGGGACAUCGGUGUUAUCAGUUGAAGAUUUCGUGUGCUAGGUUUUCUCCUUCAUGUUGGUGAUUUACAUGUGUUGCUUUCAAAGGGGCCUGUGUCGUCGAAACGAGCUGUAAAUUUUGCACUUGAUAUCGCUAGGGGCUUGAACUGCCUACACGAGCGUAGAGAUCCUGUUGUGCAUGCCAAUCUAAAACCGCGUAACCUACUAGUAAACGAAGCCGGACAAUUGAAAAUCACAGACUUCGGAAAGCUACGAAGAAGCCUCUAUACAGAAGCACCUGAGGGUAAUGAAAUUGGCUCAUACCUUUAUAUGGCGCCAGAGGUUUUUCGACAAGAGCAAUUUGACAAUAGCGUGGAUGUUUUUUUCCUUAGGGCUCAUACUGCAUGAGGUGCUGGAGGGCCUCCAAAACAGGACCGAUGCAACCCCACAAGGGAUUGCAAGGAAACGAGCAUACGAGGAUGUGCGACAGGAGUUCAGGACGAAUGCUUAUCCACGGGGCAUGAAAGAGCUCAUUCAAGCGUGCAGGCAUGGAUACGCGUCCAAGCGGCCAGCAGUGUCAGAGAUCAUGAGACAGUUGGAGGCGAUGGAGCAGCCGAGAUGCAGGAAUUCGGUGCAGCAGAAAUGGCAGCAGAAGAAGUGUGGAUGUGGGUGUGUUCCAUGGUGAACCCUAAAACCUAAACCCUAAACCUCCCCCUCUCAAUAUAGUCAAUGCCCACUCCUGCACUCCUGCCCACUCUGCUUUCCAGCAUUAAGUCACCCAUUUCAUUAGGUUUAGCCCACCCAGAGUGCUCCACUGCUACCACCACAUUUUUUGCCUGUGGACCUUGUGGCAUGGGAAUCCCAACGCGCCCUAUCUAUCUAUCACUGCAGCCUUUCAUGUCCAGUUUGUCAAGCAUCAUCUUAUACUCAGCGUUUUAUUUUCAGUUUUUGUGAAUGAAACACUUUCCUUUGUCAAUAAAUUCAUUAGUCCUGUUACAUAGAUGGUAGUUUUUAUUGUGAGGGAUAUUCUUUACUGUUUGUUCUAAAAAUGGGAUUUUUUUUUUAGAUGAA